rnacentral:rRNA from 1 species
CAGCAGCCGCGGUAAUGCGUAGGGUGCAAGCGUUAAUCGGAAUUACUGGGCGUAAAGCGUGCGCAGGCGGUCCGCUAAGACAGAUGUGAAAUCCCCGGGCUUAACCUGGGAACUGCAUUUGUGACUGGCGGGCUAGAGUAUGGCAGAGGGGGGUAGAAUUCCACGUGUAGCAGUGAAAUGCGUAGAGAUGUGGAGGAAUACCGAUGGCGAAGGCAGCCCCCUGGGCCAAUACUGACGCUCAUGCACGAAAGCUAGGGGAGCAAAUGGGAUUAGAUACCCCUGUAGUCCCUGUCUCUUAUAA